CGUCAGCCAGCUAACAGCCAUGUCUGUGCUGUGGUCCGCUGGAAGCUCCUAGGUGGAUUUAUCUCGCCGUCAGAUCUUUGUUGAUCCUGAAAGCUGGUGUGUUUUGGAGGAAGCCGACAGCCUGAUCGCGUCUCCGCCGCGAAGCAGAAGGAUGCCGAACAGAACAGCUGAUGGCGAGACUGUCGAGCCAUAAAAAGAGCAUCGGCGGGUGUUUCCACUGCCACUUUGUUUGAAAAUAAGAGACGCGUCGAUGUGAUUCCUCUCCGUCGUUUGGAUUUCGUUUAAACUCAAAAAUCCGCCCAGAUGAUGUCGGGAAAGCAUUUCAAGGCUCAGGAAGUGAGCUGCUGCAUCAAGUAUUUCAUAUUCGGCUUUAACAUCAUAUUCUGGUUCCUGGGAGUGACAUUCCUUGGCAUCGGGCUGUGGGCUUGGAGUGAAAAGGGUGUUCUCUCCAACAUCUCGUCCAUCACGGACCUGGGGGGCUUCGAUCCUGUAUGGCUUUUCCUCGUUGUGGGUGGUGUGAUGUUCAUCCUCGGUUUUGCUGGCUGCAUUGGAGCUCUACGGGAGAACUCGUUCCUGCUUAAAUUUUUCUCCGUGUUCCUGGGAAUCAUCUUCUUUCUGGAGCUGACUGCAGGAGUCCUGGCCUUUGUCUUCAAAGACUGGAUCAAGGACCAGCUUAAAUUCUUCAUCAACAACAACAUUCGGGCCUACAGGGAUGAUAUUGACCUGCAAAACCUGAUAGAUUUCACUCAGGAAUAUUGGGAGUGCUGUGGAGCUUUUGGAGCUGACGACUGGAACUUGAACAUCUACUUUAACUGCACCGAUUCAAACCCGAGCCGUGAGAAAUGUGGAGUGCCCUUUUCCUGCUGCACCAAAGAUCCCGCGGAGGACGUCAUCAACACCCAGUGUGGAUACGACAUCCGGGCAAAAACGGACUCUGAGCAGAGAACCUUCAUCUACAUCAAAGGCUGUGUCCCGCAGUUUGAGAAGUGGCUCCAGGAUAACCUAACCGUGGUGGCCGGCAUCUUUAUUGGAAUCGCAUUAUUGCAGAUUUUUGGCAUCUGUUUAGCUCAGAACCUUGUGAGCGACAUCGAAGCUGUGAGAGAAAGUUGGUGAGUGGUGUUUGUCUCAAUUUGUUUACCUAACAAACAGGAAGUUUUCAAAGACAAGAAGCAUGCAUCAGACUGUUUGGACUCUUAGCACCACCCGGACCAUUUAAUCUGCUGAGUUUCCAACAUUAAGAGACUCAUUCACAUGUAAAUAGUAAAUUAAGAGGUGGUUUCAGCAUUAUUUCAAGGGAAAAGCCACCUAUGAAAUGUGGUGUACCUUUGAUAUAACACAUAAAACCAUUUCACAGUAAAAUCAAUUUCAUUAAAAGCCUCAUUGAGAAAAUGAAGGUAAACAAGGGCGGACAUGGUGAGAUUCAAACAGACGGUGUAGAUGUUUUGUAGUUAGUUCUAUGGAAAGAAAGUUAACAUUUUAUAUUUUUCCUGUUGUUGAACAGCCUCCGUUUGGAAACAGAACUGUGAAUUUGGCAAAGUGAGAUUAUUCAUUGCUAAAGUUAGCAACAAGGCUAGCUAGCGAUAGCGCCUCUGGUUGAGUUUGUUACAUUUCCAGCUGGAUUAUUUGUAUAUUUCUGCUGGAAAAACCAUGUAUCAAACACCAUGAUGGUUUAUAAAGUAUAAACUGUUUUAUGAAUCACUAUGAAGUGUUACACUGCAGUAUUUUUUAGGAGAGCAACAUUAGCAUUAGCCGUUUCUCCAAACUGAGGUCAUUCACAUAGCCACCUACAACAGGUAAGAUGUUAGUCGUUUAUGCCGUGUCUAUUGAAAAUCCUUUCAAAACAUCUGAACUGUUUGCCAUUUAAAAGAAAUGAGAUUUUAGCUUUAAAGGUUUGGCUGCAGCAGGUUUUUACAGCUGCGUGUUACAGCUCUGGAAAUGCACUGCAUGCCUGGCGCCUACUUUGGCUCUCCUAAAGAUAUUGAAGUCAGAAUUUUGUAUUAUAGGUUUGAUCAUUUCCUGUCAGCUGGCUGGUACGCACUUUGUUCUAUAAAGCUACUGAGAUUGUGUGUAGAUUUGUAGAAAAUCACAAUUACAGAAGCAAAAAUAGUUGAGUUUUAUGGAGCUAAACCGUGACAAGGAGACAGAUGGGGUUGAUUUUGUUAUGUUGUGGUUUAAAGAGAUCAAAGGUCAGCCCGAAGCACUUUAAUCAUUAUUAAAGUGAUGUAGGUCAUUGCUGCCCAUGACAGACUGUUGAUAUUUCCUGAUGCAGUGCAACUCUCCCAGGUUUUGCACAUUUAAUCAGUGUUUUAUUUUAUUAUUUAAAAAUGUCUCUCAUGCUUUCUGUGGUUAAAUCUGCCUCUGAUGUUAAAAUGUCGUUAGCUAAUGAUGAUUUGUUGGAUUUCAAACAACGUUUUCAAGAGCCAAAACAAACUGCAUGCAUAUUCUUUUAGUAUCAUUCAGUCAAACGUGGAUAGAGGUCUCAGUCUAAUCACGCUCUGCAGGCUCAGUCACCAGCAGGCUUUUAUUCAUUGAGAUAGCGAUCUUAGCUAGCGUCACAAAGAUUUCAAGCCGCUGUUUACACUUUAAAGUCAUUUCAUAUGAAUGCAACGUUGGACCACGGUGGAUAUCCUUGUUUUCUUCCUUUGCAGCCAAAUCUUCUGCCUCCACGAUGGACUGAAUUGAAAAUCCUGAUAGGUUCUUUACCGACUCACAAUCAGAAAGUUUUAUAAACCAGCGAUGGUGUCGGAUAUCUUCAUUAUUUUCCGCGAAUAGUUUUUUUAUGAUUGCACUCUGUCUCUUUCACCGCCUAGUGCCAUAUUUGUGAUCACCUUAAACACCUACCUUCUGACUUUGUUUCACCUGUGCUUCUUAUUCCUGUAAAUAAUGACAGUUAAAAUAAAACGUAAGUAAACCUUC